CCUGUCCGAGCGUCAUUUCUGCCCUCAAGCACGGCUUGUGUGUUGGGUGCGGUCCCCCCGGGGGCCUGCCCGAAAGGCAGCGGCGACGUCCGUCUGGUCCUCGAGCGUAUGGGGCUUUGUCACUCGCUCGGGAAGGACUGGCGGGGGUUGGUCACCACCACAAAAUUUUACCACGGUUGACCUCGGAUCAGGUAGGAGUUACCCGCUGAACUUAAGCAUAUCAAUAAGCGGAGGAAAAGAAACCAACCGGGAUUGCCUCAGUAACGGCGAGUGAAGCGGCAAGAGCUCAAAUUUGAAAUCUGGCCCCCUCGGGGUCCGAGUUGUAAUUUGCAGAGGAUGCUUCGGGAGCGGUCCCCAUCUAAGUGCCCUGGAACGGGCCGUCAUAGAGGGUGAGAAUCCCGUCUGGGAUGGGCGGCCGCGCCCGUGUGAAGCUCCUUCGACGAGUCGAGUUGUUUGGGAAUGCAGCUCUAAGCGGGUGGU
rnacentral:rRNA from 1 species